AUUGAACGCUGGCGGCAUGCCUUACACAUGCAAGUCGAACGGUAACGGGCCUUCGGGUGCCGACGAGUGGCGAACGGGUGAGUAAUACAUCGGAACGUGCCCGAUCGUGGGGGAUAACGAGGCGAAAGCUUUGCUAAUACCGCAUACGAUCUACGGAUGAAAGCAGGGGACCGCAAGGCCUUGCGCGGGCGGGGCGGCCGAUGGCAGAUUAGGUAGGUGGUGGGAUAAAAGCUUACCAAGCCGACGAUCUGUAGCUGGUCUGAGAGGAUGGGCAGCCACACUGGGACUGAGACACGGCCCAGACUCCUACGGGAGGCAGAAGUGGGGAAUUUUGGACAAUGGGCGCAAGCCUGAUCCAGCCAUGCCGCGUGCAGGAUGAAGGCCUUCGGGUUGUAAACUGCUUUUGUACGGAACGAAAAGCCUUCUUUUAAUACAGGAGGGUCAUGACGGUACCGUAAGAAUAAGCACCGGCUAACUACGUG
rnacentral:rRNA from 1 species